UACGUAGGGCGCAAGCGUUAUCCGGAAUUAUUGGGCGUAAAGAGCUCGUAGGCGGUUUGUCGCGUCUGCCGUGAAAGUCCGGGGCUCAACUCCGGAUCUGCGGUGGGUACGGGCAGACUAGAGUGAUGUAGGGGGAGACUGGAAUUCCUGGUGUAGCGGUGAAAUGCGCAGAUAUCAGGAGGAACACCGAUGGCGAAGGCAGGUCUCUGGGCAAUAACUGACGCUGAGGAGCGAAAGCGUGGGGAGCGAACAGG
rnacentral:rRNA from 1 species